rnacentral:rRNA from 1 species
GAUGAACGCUAGCGGCAGGCUUAACACAUGCAAGUCGAGGGGUAUUGGUUUUCGGACCAAGAGACCGGCGCACGGGUGCGUAACGCGUAUGCAAUCUACCUUUUGCAGAGGGAUAGCCCCAGAGAAAUUUGGAUUAAUACCUCAUAGUAUAGUACUUUGGCAUCAAGGAACUAUUAAAGUCACAACGGCAAAGAUGAGCAUGCGUCCCAUUAGCUAGUUGGUAAGGUAACGGCUUACCAAGGCUACGAUGGGUAGGGUCCUGAGAGGGAGAUCCCCCACACUGGUACUGAGACACGGACCAGACUCCUACGGGAGGCAGCAGUGAGGAAUAUUGGACAAUGGGCGCAAGCCUGAUCCAGCCAUGCCGCGUGCAGGAAUAAGGUCCUAUGGAUUGUAAACUGCUUUUAUACAGGAAGAAACACACCCUCGUGAGGGUACUUGACGGUACUGUAUGAAUAAGGACCGGCUAACUCCGUGCCAGCAGCCGCGGUAAAGUG